rnacentral:rRNA from 1 species
UUUUAUGAGAGUUUGAUCCUGGCUCAGGACGAACGCUGGCGGCGUGCCUAAUACAUGCAAGUCGAACGCUUCUUUUUCCACCGGAGCUUGCUCCACCGGAAAAAGAAGAGUGGCGAACGGGUGAGUAACACGUGGGUAACCUGCCCAUCAGAAGGGGAUAACACUUGGAAACAGGUGCUAAUACCGUAUAACAAUCGAAACCGCAUGGUUUUGAUUUGAAAGGCGCUUUCGGGUGUCGCUGAUGGAUGGACCCGCGGUGCAUUAGCUAGUUGGUGAGGUAACGGCUCACCAAGGCCACGAUGCAUAGCCGACCUGAGAGGGUGAUCGGCCACAUUGGGACUGAGACACGGCCCAAACUCCUACGGAGGCAGCAGUAGGGAAUCUUCGGCAAUGGACGAAAGUCUGACCGAGCAACGCCGCGUGAGUGAAGAAGGUUUUCGGAUCGUAAAACUCUGUUGUUAGAGAAGAACAAGGAUGAGAGUAACUGUUCAUCCCUUGACGGUAUCUAACCAGAAAGCCACGGCUAACUACGUGCCAGCAGCCGCGGUAAUACGUAGGUGGCAAGCGUUGUCCGGAUUUAUUGGGCGUAAAGCGAGCGCAGGCGGUUUCUUAAGUCUGAUGAAAGCCCCGGCUCAACCGGGGAGGGUCAUUGGAAACUGGGAGACUUGAGUGCAGAAGAGGAGAGUGGAAUUCCAUGUGUAGCGGUGAAAUGCGUAGAUAUAUGGAGGAACACCAGUGGCGAAGGCGGCUCUCUGGUCUGUAACUGACGCUGAGGCUCGAAAGCGUGGGGAGCAAACAGGAUUAGAUACCCUGGUAGUCCACGCCGUAAACGAUGAGUGCUAAGUGUUGGAGGGUUUCCGCCCUUCAGUGCUGCAGCUAACGCAUUAAGCACUCCGCCUGGGGAGUACGACCGCAAGGUUGAAACUCAAAGGAAUUGACGGGGGCCCGCACAAGCGGUGGAGCAUGUGGUUUAAUUCGAAGCAACGCGAAGAACCUUACCAGGUCUUGACAUCCUUUGACCACUCUAGAGAUAGAGCUUCCUUCGGGGCAAAGUGACAGGUGGUGCAUGGUUGUCGUCAGCUCGUGUCGUGAGAUGUUGGGUUAAGUCCCGCAACGAGCGCAACCCUUAUUGUUAGUUGCCAUCAUUCAGUUGGGCACUCUAGCAAGACUGCCGGUGACAAACCGGAGGAAGGUGGGGAUGACGUCAAAUCAUCAUGCCCCUUAUGACCUGGGCUACACACGUGCUACAAUGGGAAGUACAACGAGUCGCGAAGUCGCGAGGCUAAGCUAAUCUCUUAAAGCUUCUCUCAGUUCGGAUUGCAGGCUGCAACUCGCCUGCAUGAAGCCGGAAUCGCUAGUAAUCGCGGAUCAGCACGCCGCGGUGAAUACGUUCCCGGGCCUUGUACACACCGCCCGUCACACCACGAGAGUUUGUAACACCCGAAGUCGGUGAGGUAACCUUUUUGGAGCCAGCCGCCUAAGGUGGGAUAGAUGAUUGGGGUGAAGUCGUAACAAGGUAGCCGUAUCGGAAGGUGCGGCUGGAUCACCUCCUUUCUAAGGAA